rnacentral:tRNA from 1 species
AGUUGAUGUGGUGUAGUGGUUAUCACGUUAGUUUUACACACUAAAGGUCUCUAGUUCGAUCUUGGGCAGCAACAA